AAAUGCACAUUUUGAUUCGCUGUUAUAAGGGGAAAACUAGAAUUUAAAUUUUAUUUUAUGUAAUUUACCACGAAGAGGCGCAAGGACUAGAAAGCUACCCGUCUACUUCACUCAAACACUAAUAUGCAACCCCAAAGCGAUCGGACUCAUGCUGAACAAAUGCCGAACACUUCAAAUGACGAAAUUAUCGCCUGUGGCAUUCCAAAUCCAGCAUUAGAGGAAAGAGUGUUCAGAAAUAUGAGAGAUGCUGCUCACUGGCCACAUAUUCAGAAGGACG